UACGAAGGGGGCUAGCGUUGUUCGGAAUUACUGGGCGUAAAGCGCGUGUAGGCGGGUCUUUAAGUCAGGGGUGAAAUGCCAAGGCUCAACCUCGGAACUGCCUUUGAUACUGCGAAUCUUGAGUCCGAUAGAGGUGGGUGGAAUUCCUAGUGUAGAGGUGAAAUUCGUAGAUAUUAGGAAGAACACCGGUGGCGAAGGCGGCCCACUGGAUCGGUACUGACGCUGAGGUGCGAAAGCGUGGGGAGCAAACAGG
rnacentral:rRNA from 1 species